UAAGAGUUCUCUAUAUGUUCCUUUCAAAACCUAGCUUCUACCAAAUGUAGUAUGAUAUCCUAUUGAAGUAAAUUAAUGACAUGGGCCAUAUUUUAUAAUUUGAAAUGAAGUUAAAUGUUCACCUGUCAGAAAACUUAAUCUUGUUGAUGCAAAUUUUUUAAUUGAUCAGCUAAUCUCUUAUACAACAGGCUGUAUUGAUUUUCUGUUUUG